rnacentral:tRNA from 1 species
GGAGAGAUGACAGAGUGGCCGAAUGUGUCCGACUCGAAAUCGGAUGUACCCGAAAGGGUACCGGGGGUUCGAAUCCCUCUCUCUCCGCCA